AUUGAACGCUGGCGGCAUGCUUUACACAUGCAAGUCGAACGGCAGCGCGGGCUUCGGCCUGGCGGCGAGUGGCGAACGGGUGAGUAAUGCAUCGGAACGUGCCCAGUAGUGGGGGAUAGCCCGGCGAAAGCCGGAUUAAUACCGCAUACGACCUGCGGGUGCAAGCGGGGGACCGAAAGGCCUCGCGCGAUUGGAGCGGCCGAUGCGGGAUUAGCUAGUUGGUGGGGUAAGGGCUUACCAAGGCGACGAUCCGUAGCUGGUCUGAGAGGACGACCAGCCACCCUGGGACUGGGCCACGGCCCAGACUCCUACGGGAGGCAGCAGUGGGGAAUUUUGGACAAUGGGGGCAACCCUGAUCCAGCCAUGCCGCGUGCGGGAAGAAGGCCUUCGGGUUGUAAACCGCUUUUGUUCGGGAAGAAAUCCUCUGGGCUAAUACCCCGGGGGGAUGACGGUACCGGAAGAAUAAGCACCGGCUAACUACGUG
rnacentral:rRNA from 1 species